CCCAGGUAGUGACCAUCUCUGAAGUGGAAGGUGUGUGUGUCAGGGUGUGUGACCGUCUCUGAAGUGGAAGGUGUGUGUGUCAGGGUGUGAAAGCCCAGGUAGUGACCAUCUCUGAAGUGGAAGAGGGAUAUCAAUAAUUGAAUCCAGACAGACUUCCUCUGUCUCAUUUCAUUUUCCCUUCUCUUUCUUUCUCUCGCUCUCUUGUUCCCCACUUCUCUGUCUCCCUCUAUCUUUAUCUCUCUCGCUCCCUUUCUCUCUCACAAUCUCUUUCUCUCUGUCCUCUCUCUCUCUCUCCCUUUCUCUCUCACACUCUCUUUCUUUCUGUCCUCUCUCUCUCUCCCUUUCUCUCUCACACUCUCUUUCUUUCC
ensembl:lncRNA